rnacentral:rRNA from 1 species
CGGGAUUGCUUCGGGAAUCAGAACACAGGUCNCUGCAUGGUUGUCGUCAGCUCGUGUCGUGAGAUGUUGGGUUAAGUCCCGCAACGAGCGCAACCCUUGUCCUUAGUUGCCAGCACGUAAUGGUGGGAACUCUAAGGAGACUGCCGGUGACAAACCGGAGGAAGGUGGGGAUGACGUCAAGUCAUCAUGGCCCUUACGGCCAGGACUACACACGUACUACAAUGGUCGGUACAGAGGGUUGCAAUACCGCGAGGUGGAGCCAAUCCCAGAAAGCCGAUCCCAGUCCGGAUCGAAGUCUGCAACUCGACUUCGUGAAGUCGGAAUCGCUAGUAAUCGCAGAUCAGCUAUGCUGCGGUGAAUACGUUCCCGG